rnacentral:lncRNA from 1 species
AGAGUGGAAGUGCUAGAUCACUUAGUCUCUGCAGUAAUCCAAGUGACAAAUAAUGGUGGCUUGGAAUAGGGGUAUAGCAGGGGAGUCUGGAAUGAAGCAAACUUUUGGGGACUUGUUUAGGAGGUAGUAUCAGUGGUAGCUAGCUAAUCUGUUUUGUAGCCUGAUAAUCUUGGACAAUGUGUUUAUAAUCAUGGAAGGUUGUGGUGCAUUAGCAAGAGGGUACUGGAGUCAGAACUGGGGUUCACUUCCUAGCCUUGUGACCCUGGACGAGAUGUUUCACCUCUCCUGAAGGCACAGAUUCUUUUUUUUUUUUUUCCUGGGCAACAGAGCGAGACUCUGUCUCAAAAAAAAAAAAAAAAAAAAGAUAUGGGGUACUUUAAGAGGGAAGGUACCUGAGGAUUCAAUGAAGUUACUGUUCUUUACCUAAAGCUCCGUACAAAACUUAAGUUGAUGUUACAUCAAGCUGGCGAGUGUUCGUGAUGUUAAUGGGUUUUGAAGUGAUCAGUUUUAGCCCUCCACUUAAAGAUAGGUAAGCCAUUAUGGUCCCCAUUUUUUCAGAUGUGAGGCUUGGGUUCUAAGGCUUUGGCUAGUAUUUCAGAUGUAAGAGAGGGAGAGGGACUCAAACUCACAUUUUGAAAGUGCAGUACAUUUCCUUCCUUCCUUUCCUUCUGUCUUUCUUUCUUUCAUGGAUUCUCACUCUGUCGCCCAGGCUGGAGUGCAGUGGUGCAACCUUGGCUCACUGCAGCCUCCUCCUCCUGGGUUCAAGCAAUUCUCCUGCCUCAGCCUCCUGAGUAGCUGGGAUUAUAGGUACCCACCACCAUAUCCAGCU